rnacentral:rRNA from 1 species
GAUGAACGCUGGCGGCGUGCCUAAUACAUGCAAGUCGAGCGAACAGACGAGGAGCUUGCUCCUCUGACGUUAGCGACGGACGGGUGAGUACCACGUGGAUAACCUACCUAUAAGACUGGGAUAACUUCGGGAAACCGGAGCUAAUACCGGAUAAUAUAUUGAACCGCAUGGUUCAAUAGUGAAAGACGGUUUUGCUGUCACUUAUAGAUGGAUCCGCGCCGCAUUAGCUAGUUGGUAAGGUAACGGCUUACCAAGGCAACGAUGCGUAGCCGACCUGAGAGAGUGAUCGGCCACACGAGAACUGAGACACGGACCAGACUCCUAAGGGAGGCAGCAGUAGGGAAUCUUAGGCAAUGGGCGGAAACAUGACGGAGCAACGCCGCGUGAGUGGUGAAGAUCUUCGGUUCGUAAAACUCUGUUAUUAGGGAAGAACAAAUGUGUAAGUAACUAAGCACGUCUUGACGGUACCGGAUCAGAAAGCCACGGCUAACUACGUG